rnacentral:rRNA from 1 species
AUGAAAGGAGGCAAGGCGAUGGGCCCUGAUUGUAUCCCCAUUGAGGUGUGGAAAGGUCUCGGGGACAUAGCGAUAGUAUGGCUAACCAAGCUUUUCAACCUCAUUUUUCGGGCAAACAAGAUGCCAGAAGAAUGGAGACGGAGUAUAUUAGUACCAAUCUUCAAGAACAAGGGGGAUGUUCAGAGUUGUACUAAUUACCGUGGAAUUAAGCUGAUGAGCCAUACAAUGAAUCUAUGGGAGAGAGUCAUUGAGCACCACUUAAGAAGAAUGACAAGUGUGACCAAAAAUCAGUUUGGUUUCAUGCCUGGGAGGUCGACCAUGGAAGCCAUUUUCUUGGUACGACAACUUAUGGAGAGAUAUAGGGAGCAAAAGGACUUGCAUAUGGUGUUCAUUGACUUGGAGAAGGCCUAUGAUAAGAUACCGCGGAAUGUCAUGUGGUGGGCCUUGGAGAAACACAAAGUCCCAGCAAAGUACAUUACCCUCAUCAAGGACAUGUACGAUAAUGUUGUGACAAGUGUUCGAACAAGUGAUGUCGACACUGAUGACUUCCCGAUUAAGAUAGGACUGCAUCAGGGGUCAGCUUUGAGCCCUUAUCUUUUUGCAUUGGUGAUGGAUGAGGUCACAAGGGAUAUACAAGGAGAUAUCCCAUGGUGUAUGCUCUUUGCGGAUGAUGUGGUGCUAGUUGACGAUAGUCGGACGGGGGUAAAUAGGAAGUUAGAGUUAUGGAGACAAACCUUGGAAUCGAAAGGGUUUAGGCUUAGUAGAACUAAAACCGAGUACAUGAUGUGCGGUUUCAGUACUACUAGGUGUGAGGAGGAGGUUAGCCUUGAUGGCCAGGUGGUACCUCAGAAGGACACCUUUCGGUAUUUGGGGUCAAUGCUGCAGGAGGAUGGGGGUAUUGAUGAAGAUGUGAACCAUCGAAUCAAAGCCGGAUGGAUGAAGUGGCGCCAAGCUUCUGGCAUUCUCUGUGACAAGAGAGUGCCACAAAAGCUAAAAGGCAAGUUCUACAGGACGGCGGUUCGACCUGCAAUGUUGUAUGGCGCUGAGUGUUGGCCGACUAAAAGGCGACAUGUUCAACAGUUAGGUGUGGCGGAGAUGCGUAUGUUGAGAUGGAUGUGUGGCCACACGAGGAAGGAUCGAGUCCGGAAUGAUGAUAUACGAGAUAGAGUUGGGGUAGCACCAAUUGAAGAGAAGCUUGUCCAACAUCGUCUGAGAUGGUUUGGGCAUAUUCAGCGCAGGCCUCCAGAAGCUCCGGUGCAUAGUGGAUGGCUAAAGCGUGCGGAGAAUGUCAAGAAAGGGCGGGGUAGACCGAAUUUGACAUGGGAGGAGUCCGUUAAGAGAGACCUGAAGGAUUGGAGUAUCACCAAAGAGCUAGCUAUGGACAGGGGUGCGUGGAAGCUUGCUAUCCAUGUGCCAGAGCCAUGA